UACGAAGGGGGCUAGCGUUGCUCGGAAUCACUGGGCGUAAAGCGCACGUAGACGGAUUGCUAAGUCAGGGGUGAAAUCCUGGAGCUCAACUCCAGAACUGCCUUUGAUACUGGCGAUCUCGAGUCCGGGAGAGGUGAGUGGAACUGCGAGUGUAGAGGUGAAAUUCGUAGAUAUUCGCAAGAACACCAGUGGCGAAGGCGGCUCACUGGCCCGGUACUGACGCUGAGGUGCGAAAGCGUGGGGAGCAAACAGG
rnacentral:rRNA from 1 species